UCCCAAUGUCAAACUUGUAGGAUGGGAGAAAGUGAAUUUCUGCCUCCUCAAAGCCCCUGAAGAUGGACCCUGCAACGCAGAAGAGUUCAGGGAGGGCCGGCCACACCUGAGGUGCUGCUCCCCAGGCCACUCACCUUUCUUCAUCUCCCGGGUGAGCUGGUCAUGUUGCAGGAGUGCCAGCACAUCCACCUCUGGGUCCUGCUUCAGCAAGGCCUCCACAGCCACUCGUCCACCACUCAGGCGGAAGUUGAAGUCUCCAAACCAGAAGACCUCAUCAAACCGGGUAGUGACAUCCCCUGGGCACAUGUGGGAGAAUACAUUGGUGCUGGCCUCCCCUUAUCGGCUACAAUCUGCUGACAAAUGGAUGGGCUCUAGGCCAAGAGACAGGGCCUCCUUUGUUUGGGUCCCCUUCCCGACAGAAUCACAGCUGGGUAGCAGCUCCCCCUGGAGGUGAGUAAUAGGAGCAGCCAAGGUCAGCAACUGCAGAGGUCUGGGAAGCUAUCUGUGCAGUCUAGGUGCAAAGGAUGCUUUGAUGCACACAGCAGGGUAGCCAUCAGCUUCUCACAGCUCAGUGAGGGCCAGGAAGUGGUCAGCACGGAGGACUUGUGGACAAACAAUAGCCUUGGACAAGCCACUGGACCUUGUGAACUCCCAUCUGCCCUGCUGCAAACCCAAUGGCUAUUUCAGUUAUGAGAACUCCAUGAUUCUCUUAAGUCCACCAGUGGUUUCUGCUAAGCUGGCAGGGCACAAGGGACAGAAAGAGUCACGUUGCUGGAGUGUCUUGUGCAGCUGUAAUCCUCACCUGCACUAGAGCGGUAGGGGUUUGUGUCUGGCACAUUCCGGGGCAGGGCUAGGGCUUGGAUGGUUCUGCUGUAGUCCAGUAGCCGCUCAGCUACCUUCCCAUCUCCAGCUAUGGGACAAAACCAGAAUAGACAGUUGAGCUGCCCCAUACCAUGACUGUCCCCAAAAUACUACCCAGUUGUCUGCUGUGGGGCUCUGUCUCAGGACUAUGGUUGUCAACAGUGAAUGUUCUGAGUAUCAGACUCUAUCGAGGGAGAACCCAUCACUAGCCCAGAGCAACUGGUGCCCCACCUGGACAGAGGCUCACAAGUCAGUGUCAGGACUGGCUUGCAAACACUUACAGGUGAAGUGAGAUGUGAUGAAGAGGAAGGAGGUGCCAAAGAAGGUGAAGCUGACGCCCAGGGCCCCCUUGGUCUUGAUCUGAGACACGAUGCGUGUAGUUACUGUGGAGUGCUCGACCUCUGCAGAGCAAGGAACGGGGGUUCAGGGCCUGCACAGACACAGCUGCACUAGGUGUGCUUGUGUGUGUCCUCAGACACGGGAACCUCAAAGGCUGGAUACGAAUCACAAAGUGCACAUUUGCCUGAGGGGACCCAUAUGUGGACAGGGUCCACGUGUUAUUAAAGCCUGUAUAUGGAGACACCUAGCGUCCUUGCAAGGGCUGGCCAGCAAGAUCUAAGCCUGAAGACAAGACUGGAGUUGAUCCUAGAACCCAUAUGGUGGAAGGAGAACGGACUCUUGCAGGUUGUCCUCUGACCUCCACAUGUACUCUUGUGGUACAGGCACAUAUGAGAGAGGAAGAGAGAGGGGGGGAGGGAGACAAAGUGGGACAGAGAUGAAGAGAGGAGGUGGUGGGAAGCCCUAUGGUAUCGCCUACCUGAGCAGAACCAGAUGAGGUCCCUACGGAUAAACAGGGACAUGUACAGGACCCCAUGUGCUGCUGAUGACAGCAGUACAUACUGAGGGCCCAGUGUCUCUUGCAGGCGUGUCUCCCACUCCCGCCUGUGGGGAGGAAGCAGAUUAGAUGGGGUCUUUCAGCUCCACCCUCCCCCAUAUGCUACCCAAGGAACCCCUGGAAGCAUUCCUAGGACCUCAAGGGACCCCACAACUGUGCUCAUCUUGUACUGAGAAUGACCAGGCUAAUGGAGUCUUCAUGCACCAUGAGACCUUGAGUUGGCUUCAGGCCCAAGACCUCAAUCUGAGGGAACGUGCAGAUCUCCAAUCCCACCUAGACCCAUGACUCCAAGGACAUGGAAUCCAGCUGCCUCUGCCUUAUCUCACCUUCUGGCCCUGCAUGUUCCAAGUAGCCACGAAGAGAGCCAUGUUUCGGUCUGGGAAGUACCUGGCCAGCUCGUCUGCUCCUAGCAGGGCCCCACUGGCCAGAAGACUUCCCUCCAGAUAGCUCCUACAAAGAGAAAAGGGUAAUUUCUCCCUAGUCCUCAUGCCCACCCACCAACCAGUUCUACCUAAAGAGAAUGUGCCACGGUGCAAAGCAGGAUCUGAAACACACUGAAGCUGCCCUGUGGUGACAGAAGAGAGCUGAGAUACGGGAACAAUACAGUGCAGACAUCCUCCUCCCUCAUGACUCCACACCCCUCCCAUCAGCCAUCACUCCCUACCCCACCUCCAAAAGAAGCUCGAAGGGCCUGUGCUGAGGGUUCACUUUACCCCCACUUAUGUUACUGCCCUUUACUAGGGCUCAAGAAGGGAUAGAGACACAUAGCAUCACUCCAACACCAGCUGAAAGGAACCCUGAGUACUUUUCAUGUCUCUGGCCUAAUUAAAAACAAAACAAAAACCAACCAAACAAACAAAAAGCUGACUUAUUUUA